GGGGAUAUUGCACAAUGGGGGAAACCCUGAUGCAGCGACGCCGCGUGAGUGAAGAAGUAUUUCGGUAUGUAAAGCUCUAUCAGCAGGGAAGAUAAUGACGGUACCUGACUAAGAAGCCCCGGCUAACUAC
rnacentral:rRNA from 1 species